CUCAAAUGAUCAAAGGCUAAGAACGCCACAUCCUGUGGCGACGCCUUUGUUAGUACGCCACAUCCUGUGGC
rnacentral:sRNA from 1 species